GCUGCAAUGACCACAAGUGGUCAUAAGACACUUUUUUGAUUGCCGCUGUAACUUUGGACAAUCACUGAAUUGUCAUAAGUCAAGGAUUACCUGUAUGCAAAUAGCCACACCUUUAUGAAUAAUUGAUAUGAAUAAUACCAUCAGCAACACUAACCAAUUGCAUAGACUUCUACUUACCAAGAAACAACAAAACAAGGAUGAUUAUAAGUACGACAAAGAAAGUGUUUCCGUAAAUCACAAGGAGAUGCACCAAACGGGACUUGAAGAUUUUCUGCCACCUUGUUGCAGAGAAAGGG